ACCUGGCUGGCUCAGUUGGUGGAGCAUGUGACUCUUGAGCUCAAGGCUGUGAGUUUAAGCCCCACGCUGGGUA
rnacentral:tRNA from 1 species